GGCGCGCACGUGUAUUUUGUACACGGUGACCAGAUUAUUGGUUCUAAAAUUAGCAUAAUACAACAUCCGGUCGGGUAGAUUCAGGUAUUCCUCUAGUCGAGUUUUGUCUUUCGAGUGGUCAAGUAAAACUUUUGUUUGUGAGUGUGAGAACUAAACAGUUAGCAAAAACAAGAAUCUCUCCCGUGUUGUGUAUAGAGUACACGCCGCGCUUUCUGAUAUUUUCAAGGGACGUUUUAUUAAUUUUUGUAUAAGACACCGAUUGAAAAAGAACUAAAAAUAUGGCUAGAAGACGUUACCUAACAGAUGAUGACCUGUAUAGAAUUCUGCAUGAUGAAGACUCAGAAACGGAGCGAACUGAAUUAGAAAAUCAAGAUAUUUCAGAAACGGAUGAAGAAGUAGUUGCGUUCAGUGGUCACGACUCUGAAUCUGAAAUUGAACUUCUCGCGGACUGUAGCAAUACAGAAGAUUUUCCUAAUGA